CGCUACAGUACAAAACACCAAGCUUUUGGGCUCAAAAAGCCUAGACCAUCAUGGCUACAAAAACUGCUGCUGCUCAGAGAGUAUGUAAUUCUGGAGCUCCUUAAGGAAAAAAGUAGUGCGAUGCAACAUCAGAACAGUGGCCAAGUGAUCUUCUCCACAGCAGCCAUGAACUUCAAUCUUGAACCGAAGAAGACUCAUCAAAUGCCUAAGGAAAGACAGUAUGGAGUUGGAAGAGAAGCAUGGAUCUCCAUGAAGGGCAAUAAGUUGUAGUCAUGGUCAGCAUGCUUGGUUGGUCUGCCACUCAACACGUGUAGCUCAGACCUGGCCACAAUGUGAGCUGCUUCCUGUUCCCCUAAACAUCAGAAGCUGAAAUCUAGAGAAAUCUGUUUAGAAGAGACUGGGUAAACAGCCAGGCUAGCUUGGUACAAGUGUGUUGGUGGCAUCUGUAAGCAUGUAGGUGUGUGGAAGAACAGGUCCUGUUCUCGCUGUUGUUACUCCCACAUAGGCAGACUCUGUAAUUGAUUAUGUGUGGGUAGGGCCCUAUUGAAAUUCAGGAGAUUCUGCAGUAGUGCGGGGUUCUUUUUGUGAGAGUUCAGUUGCAAGAUCAGGACCCUACUGUGACUCCUUACUGUGCAUUCUGUCACUGUCUCAUUGAUUGUACUGGAACCUGCCUGUUGGGAUAAUUACCAAAUACUAUAUUCCUCAAAACUUCUUAAUGGCACUGAGGCUUUGUGGAUAGUUGGUCACAUGAUGAGAAAAUUCAGCUGUAAUUCACCAUGGGACCCUGAAGUUCUUCCCUACUGCAAUUAGGCAGUAUCAAGAUGACUGUAUUCUGAAAUAGUUAUUAGUGGAAGACCACUCCAGUCCCAGGACUAUGUCUCUCAGACUUUCCAUAUGGACAAGGAAGUGCCAACGCUGCCACCCUUUCUGAAGCUUUUCACUUGCUACCUCUCUGACAAUCCUACUUUCCAUGUUGAAAAUAUUGUCCUAACUUGUGAUGUGGAAGAUUGCUGGCUCUUCCUUUGAUGCUGAUACCAGUAUUUUCUUGACUGAUAAUAUUGUAAUGAAGACAUAGAAAAAGAAGACUAUGGCACUCACUGAUUUUUUUAUGGUUUGAGUAGUCAAAAAAUAUUGUUCUUCUGCCUUCAUAUACAAUGUGUUGGUUUCCCAAUGUAAUUGUAACUUAAAAAUGUUUGUAGAAAUGUAAAAUUAAAUGUGAAGAGUAUAAAAUCCAUAUUAAAGACAUAAAAAUUUA